UCUAUGCUUUGGUUGGAAGCGUAGGGAUACUCUGCUCAUUCCUGAAGAAAUUCUCCGGAUCAACUGCAGUCUUCACUUUCACCAGUCUAUCAAAGUUUCCGUUGAAGUACUUGUACCCAUAAACACUACCCUCUUCAUAGCUAUUUUUACCAGCUUCCAUCACACCAAUGUCAAGAUCCCUGUAGUUCAAAAAUGCGCUUCUUGGAUUCUUGGAUACAAAUGGGGUCAUAUAGCUGUAGAGCUUCCUUGCCUGUGUCAAGUACUCGAUCUCUGCUGUGCUUCCUGCAUCUUCCCAAUUCACUGAAUAUUGGACCUUGAACAAGUUCCCAGCCCUAUGUGGAAAGGGAGCAUCUGUCGCUGGAAUUUCGCUCAUUCUUCCACCGUAAGGAUUGAAAACCAAUCCAGUUUUCCCCAAUUCAAUCAUCCUUUGCCAUAUCAAAUUCAACUUGUCUUUAGAUAUUGGAGUCUGCACAUAAUCUGAUUUUCUCUUCAGGAAAUUGGCAGAGUCAAGAUCUCUAUCAAGCAGAACCUCAGGGGAUGUUCCAAUAUCGUAAUUUGCCCACCAGAUAACAGACUGAAUCCAACUCGUCUCAUUGCAAUUCUCCUUCUUCAAACCCAAUUCAGGGAAUUCCUUGCCCAGUAAAGACACAAGGGUAUCAGCGUUUCCCAAAUAUAAAGCCACAAUCGAUGCUCUAAUGGUCUUCUCAGUUUUGUUUUUCUUGGACGUUACAGGCUGCAAUAGCAUUCUCAUGAAGAGACCAUUAUCUGUUUUGGGAGCAACAAAUUGCCACUUAAAAACAAUAUCAGUGGCAUUCUCAUCAAGAGUUCUUUCAACUCUGAAAACGGUAACAGUCUCAGGAACAGGAACAAGACUGAUCUUGUAAGAGAUUAUAACACCAAAACUUCCACCUCCACCUCCUCGAAUAGCCCAAAAGAGAUCCUCACCCAUUGCUUUUCUAUCCAAAAGCUUGCCAUUAACAUCAACUAUUUGAGCAUCAAGCACGUUAUCCACCGCCAAACCAUACUUCCUCAACAUAUUCCCAUAACCACCCCCACUAAAAUGCCCGCCAACACCAACGGUAGGACAAAUCCCAGCAGGGAAUCCAUGAGCUUUGCUUUUCUCCCAGAUUCUGUAAUAAACUUCACCAAGAGUAGCACCACUCUGAACCCAAGCAGACUCAUUUUUAACAUCUAUGUCAAUAGAUCGAAGAUUGAACAUAUCAAGAACGAAAAAGGGAACGUCAGAGAUGUAAGAAAUCCCUUCAUAAUCAUGGCCGCCGCUGCGGAUUUUGAGUUGGUAACCAACCUUCUUGGUGCAGAUAACAGCAGCCUGGACAUGGGAAAUCUGUUUUGGGGUUAGAAUGACUACUGGUUUAGGGGUUGUGGAGGUAUUCAUGCGAGCAUUUCGAAUGUAGGCUCGAAGAACUGAAGUGUAUGACGCAUUAGUCUGGGAAUAGACGAGGGUUGAUAUUUGGUCUUGUGGAUUUGUGUUGUUUUCCAGGCACUGGAGGAAAGAUUCAUAGACUGAAUCAUCUGUGGCAGCGCAUGUUAAAGAAGAGAAACAAGAAAGGUCGAAGAGAAGAAAAAGAAGAAAGGCCAACAGAGGAGUUGUUUUGGCCAUUGAGGAAUGAGCGACGG
rnacentral:misc_RNA from 1 species